rnacentral:tRNA from 1 species
GAGGGGAUAGCUCAGUGGUAGAGGGCAUGCUUCACACAUUUGAGGUCCUGGGUUCAAUCCCCAGUACCUCCA